rnacentral:rRNA from 1 species
UGUGGUUUAAUUCGAUGCAACGCGAAAACCUUACCUACCUUUGACAUGUACGGAAUUCGCCAGAGAUGGCUUAGUGCUCGAAAGAGAACCGUAACACAGGUGCUGCAUGGCUGUCGUCAGCUCGUGUCGUGAGAUGUUGGGUUAAGUCCCGCAACGAGCGCAACCCUUGUCAUUAGUUGCUACAUUUAGUUGGGCACUCUAAUGAGACUGCCGGUGACAAAACCGGAGGAAGUGGGGAUGACGUCAAGUCCUCAUGGCCCUUAUAGGUAGGGCUACACACGUCAUACAAUGGAUGGUACAAAGGGUCGCCAACCCGCGAGGGGGAGCCAAUCCCAUAAAACCAUUCGUAGUCCGGAUCGCAGUCUGCAACUCGACUGCGUGAAGUCGGAAUCGCUAGUAAUCGUGGAUCAGAAUGUCACGGUGAAUACGUUCCCGGGUCUU